AUGGGGAAGGAACGUUGUUGUUUGCGAGGUCUCGAUCAUUUACAUGGACCCACUUCUCAUUCCAUUUGUGCGAAUUUGAUGAUUUAUAAACCGUCCCCAACGAGCGAAAGGUUCAUGUUUGAACAUGAUGAAUCACUUCGUGCCGACCUGUUGCCCAUAAACUUUCCUGCCUCAUAUGAGAAUGGAAAACUGGAAGAUUUUCUGCAUCGGUGGAUGAAGAAUCAUGAACAUAAGAAUUUCUGGUUUAGCAUGUUCCCAAAAGGAAGAUACUUUUUUUCCAUUCGAGAAACGAGGAGCACGACUGAAGUGGCUAUAGAUACAAAUCCAUUUAGGGAUCUAUAUGCUCCGAUUGGAACUGGAAGUUCCAGAACUGGCGGCUGGAUA
rnacentral:rRNA from 1 species